GACGAACGCUGGCGGCGUGCUUAACACAUGCAAGUCGAACGGAAAGGCCCUGCUUUUGUGGGGUGCUCGAGUGGCGAACGGGUGAGUAACACGUGAGUAACCUGCCCUUGACUUUGGGAUAACUUCAGGAAACUGGGGCUAAUACCGGAUAGGAGCUCCUGCUGCAUGGUGGGGGUUGGAAAGUUUCGGCGGUUGGGGAUGGACUCGCGGCUUAUCAGCUUGUUGGUGGGGUAGUGGCUUACCAAGGCUUUGACGGGUAGCCGGCCUGAGAGGGUGACCGGCCACAUUGGGACUGAGAUACGGCCCAGACUCCUACGGGCGGCAGCAGUGGGGAAUAUUGCACAAUGGGCGGAGGCCUGAUGCAGCAACGCCGCGUGCGGGAUGACGGCCUUCGGGUUGUAAACCGCUUUCGCCUGUGACGAAGCGUGAGUGACGGUAAUGGGUAAAGAAGCACCGGCUAACUACGU
rnacentral:rRNA from 1 species